GAUGAACGCUGGCGGCGUGCCUAAUACAUGCAAGUCGAGCGAACGGACGAGAAGCUUGCUUCUCUGAUGUUAGCGGCGGACGGGUGAGUAACACGUGGAUAACCUACCUAUAAGACUGGGAUAACUUCGGGAAACCGUAGCUAAUACCGGAUAAUAUUUUGAACCGCAUGGUUCAAAAGUGAAAGACGGUCUUGCUGUCACUUAUAGAUGGAUCCGCGCUGCAUUAGCUAGUUGGUAAGGUAACGGCUUACCAAGGCAACGAUGCAUAGCCGACCUGAGAGGGUGAUCGGCCACACUGGAACUGAGACACGGUCCAGACUCCUACGGGAGGCAGCAGUAGGGAAUCUUCCGCAAAGGGCGAAAGCCUGACGGAGCAACGCCGCGUGAGUGAUGAAGGUCUUCGGAUCGUAAAACUCUGUUAUUAGGGAAGAACAUAUGUGUAAGUAACUGUGCACAUCUUGACGGUACCUAAUCAGAAAGCCACGGCUAACUACGCG
rnacentral:rRNA from 1 species